rnacentral:rRNA from 1 species
GAUGAACGCUAGCGGCAGGCCUAAUACAUGCAAGUCGAACGAUAUUAAGGGGCUUGCUCCUUAAGAAAGUGGCGCACGGGUGCGUAACGCGUAUGCAACCUACCUUAAUCAGGGGGAUAGCCCGAAGAAAUUCGGAUUAACACCGCAUAAAAGCACAGGAUAGCAUUAUCCAAUGUUCAAAUAUUUAUAGGAUUAAGAUGGGCAUGCGUGUCAUUAGCUAGUUGGCGGGGUAACGGCCCACCAAGGCGACGAUGACUAGGGGAUCUGGGAGGAUGAGCCCCCACACGGGUACAGAGACACGGACCAGACUCCUACGGGAGGCAGCAGUAAGGAAUAUUGGUCAAUGGAGGCAACUCUGAACCAGCCAUGCCGCGUGCAGGAAGACUGCCCUAUGGGUUGUAAACUGCUUUUAUCCGGGAAUAAACCUUUCUACGUGUAGGAAGCUGAAUGUACCGGAAGAAUAAGGAUCGGCUAACUCCGUGCCAGCAGCCGCAGUAAUAC